ACCUGCAACAUGAAGCGCAACGUGCUCAUGGGGAAAUGUUUGCAACGGUUCCAACAACUGCCAUUAUGGCCACGGUUGGGUAAGGAAGGAUUUCAACUCUUUUGCUUUAUAGGCGCCAGUAGUUAAAACGGACUCUUAACCAAAAGCACCUGUAAUGUGAUGACAAGGCGUCUCCGCAGACACUCAAGUGACCAAAGAGACCCGGACACCGCGUGCACACGAUCCCUCCCGCCCGAGUCGUGCCCGAGUCGCCGAGCAAGCAGGGCUGACGAACUCCCCGGUGUGGCGCCGGCGACCCUUGGCCUGGACCCCUCCCUCGGGGACAGCUCAGACGUCAGGGAAGCAGCGCCCUCACCCUCGGCGAGAAGAGCCGUGCACACGGAAAUGAACACGAUGAGCAGCGUGUCCGCGAACAUGGUACUCAUCCUGCACUUCCGGCUCUGCACUCCCACCCGCCGGGGGGGGAAGCGCUCGACAGCCACGGAAAAUGAGCGAAAAACGACUUUCCUAGACUUCAGGACCACCGAGCAGCA